AAAAAUCCUGCCCAGUUUCUGGGGAAGAAUGGUUUUUCUAAUCAAAGGAACCUUCGUGGAAUGCCUGAAGUCCGGUGGCUCCCUGAUAACCGGGAGUAACAGGAUGUAACAGGAGAGGCCAUCAAUCCUCCUGCCCAAAGGAGCCAACUGGGGCCAACUAGAACAUCUCUGCUGCCUCCUAAGGGAGUGAGUGUGUUUUCUGGAGCUGCUGCCUAUGAUUGCAGGGGAGAAAGAUGAUCUGAAGAGUCAGCUGUGAACUUAUUGCUGCCCAUUCUCCAAGGUUCCGCAGCUUCUCAGCUACACUGGAGAACAUAUGCCCCAGAGCACGAUUCCACCCUCUCUUUGCCCCUUUCCUUUUUAACUGUGUCCUGUAAACUUCCUUUCAAGUUACAGCUUCCCCUUUGCCUUCCCAGACCCCUCUAAUGGAGAAUUAUUUAUUUGGUGUGCACUCUCUGGGUGCCAGAAACUUCAUGGCAAUUGCCAGUUAGCAGGCAGGUCAACACAUGAUGAUGUCUUUGUGUUUUCCCUAAUUUAGGACUUUGUGACUGAUUAGUCAACAUGUCAGACUACUAGUUGUCCAAGAUCCAUUUUCCUCUUCUCCCACUGGAUUAGAAUGCUUAGUAGGGUGCAUAGCUGCUCUGAAUCAGGACUACACUUCCCAGCCACCCUUGCAGGGCAAUGUGACUAAGUC
rnacentral:lncRNA from 13 species